rnacentral:rRNA from 1 species
GGUCCUGCGCCGAAAAUGUCCGGGGCUGAAACACGACACCGAAGCUUAGGAAUCACAUAGUGAUUGGUAGAGGAGCAUUCUUAAAACCGACGAAGCUGUACCGGAAGGAGCAGUGGAGGGAUAAGAAGAGAGAAUGCCGGAAUGAGUAGCGAGAGGAAGGUGGGAAUCCUUCCGGCCGAAUAUCUAAGGUUUCCAGAGUAAAGCUGAUCUGCUCUGGGUAAGUCGGGGCCUAAGGCGAGGUCGAAAGACGUAGUCGAUGGAUAACAGGUGGAGAUUCCUGUACUAUGUGUACCCAGAACUGUGGGGACGCAUGUGGAGAGCAUGAGCCGGGAAAGAGAAAACCGGUACAAGCGGGGUAGGAGUAAGGACAGCAAAUCUUCCUUACAAUCCGAAGACGUGAUGUGGACCGAACCAAAGUAGGGAAGCAUGUGAGCCAUGUGCCAAGAAAAGCCGCUAUUGUGAUACACAUACCCGUACCGUAAACCGACACAGGUGGAUGAGGAGAGAAUCCUAAGGCCGACGGAAGAAGCAUUGUUAAGGAACUCGGCAAAAUGACCCCGUAACUUCGGGAGAAGGGGUGCUCUUAGAAAUAAGAGCCGCAGAGAAUUGGCCCAAGCAACUGUUUAGCAAAAACACAGGUCUAUGCAAAACCGAAAGGUGAGGUAUAUGGGCUGACGCCUGCCCGGUGCUGGAAGGUUAAGGGGAGAGGUUAGUCGUAAGGCGAAGCUUUGAACUUAAGCCCCAGUAAACGGCGGCCGUAACUAUAACGGUCCUAAGGUAGCGAAAUUCCUUGUCGGGUAAGUUCCGACCCGCACGAAAGGCGUAAUGAUUUGGGCACUGUCUCAACGAUACACCCGGUGAAAUUGAAAUACCAGUGAAGAUGCUGGUUACCUGCGCCAGGACGGAAAGACCCCAUGGAGCUUUACUCCAGCUUGAUACUGGGACCCGGUAUUGCAUGUACAGGAUAGGUGGGAGGCUAGGAAAUGUGGACGCCAGUCUGCAUGGAGCCGCUGUUGGGAUACCACCCUUGUGGUGCUGGGUUUCUAACCAGAGGCCGUGAACCGGUCUGGGGACAAUGUCAGGUGGGGAGUUUGACUGGGGCGGUCGCCUCCGAAAGGGUAUCGGAGGCGCUCAAAGGUUCCCUCAGAAUGGUUGGAAACCAUUCGAAGAGUGCAAAGGCAGAAGGGAGCUUGACUGCGACACCGACGGGUGGAGCAGGUACGAAAGUAGGACUUAGUGAUCCGGUGGUAUAAAGUGGGAUUGCCAUCGCUCAACGGAUAAAAGCUACCCUGGGGAUAACAGGCUUAUCACUCCCAAGAGUUCACAUCGACGGAGUGGUUUGGCACCUCGAUGUCGGCUCAUCGCAUCCUGGGGCUGAAGUAGGUCCCAAGGGUUGGGCUGUUCGCCCAUUAAAGCGGUACGCGAGCUGGGUUCAGAACGUCGUGAGACAGUUCGGUCCCUAUCCGGCGCGGGCGGAGGAUAUUUGAGAGGAGCUGUCCUUAGUACGAGAGGACCGGGAUGGACGGACCACUGGUGUAUCUGUUGUCGACCAACGGCAUGGCAGAGUAGCCAAGUCUGGAAGGGAUAAACGCUGAAGGCAUCUAAGCGUGAAGCCCCCCUAAAGAUAAGAUUUCCCAUACCAAAAGGUAGUAAGACCCCUUGAAGACGACGAGGUAGAUAGGGCAGAGGUGGAAGUACGGUAACGUAUGGAGCUGACUGUUACUAAUCGGUCGAGGCUUUAACC